AUUAUGUUUGGAAAUACGGUAAUUGAUGAUGUUAAGGCCGUUCAAUUGAGGGGAUUAUAUGAUGAAGAAAGAAAUAUGACAUUAAGAGCAGAAACAUUAUCAAGAAUGAGACGACUUGAAUUUCUCAGAAUAGAAAGUGUUAGUUUUUCUGGAAGUUUUAAUAGCAUUUCUAGCGAAUUGCGAUAUCUUGAGUGGAAUGAUUAUCCGUUUACGUAUUUUCCAUCAUGUUGUAAGCUAUCCGAUGGCACAAUGUGUCUGGACAAUUUGAAGGAAUUGAAUCUCUUUGACUCCGAAAAUCUUGUGAAGCCUCCAAACCUUAGCCAGGCUCCAAAUCUUGAGCGGCUGUUCCUUAUAAGAUGUAGAAAGCUUAAGCACAUACAUCCAUCAACUGGAGACCUAAGAAAAUUUGUUCAGUUAGAUUUGAGUGGGUGCACAAGUUUAAUGAGUUUUCCCAUCCCUGUAUUCGGUAUAUCUUCACUAAAAUAUGUGGCUUAAGCUUAGGUUACCAUUCCAUUUCUUCAAUUAUUCUAAAAGUAGAUACAACCAUGUGUUCCAUCUGUGUAGGCUUUCUCUGGCUCGCUUAAGCUGCGUGAAUUAUCUUAACCUAAGUGAUUGUAAUCUGCAUACUAUCCCUGAGGCCAUAUCAUCCUUACAUUAUUUAGUGUUCUUAUUUUUCAAGGGAAACAAUAUAGUUAGAGUACCUGAUUUCAUAAACAAGCUUCCCAGACUGAGAGUGUUGGUGUUAGAUAACUGCAAACGGCUAAUGUAUGUAGAUGAGUUCCCAUUGCCAUUAUCCUAUUCAGCGGCAGAGCGAACAAAACUUGUGAAAAGGGGAGAAUUGAGUAUGUUGAACUGCCCGAAAAUAGUAGAGAAGGAAAGGUUGAGUGGAAUGGGUAGUUCAUGGAUGAGAGAGUACAUUAAGGUACACAAUGAAUCCACUGGUAGAGUUGCUAUUGUAAUACCAGGGAGUGGAGUUCCAAUUCCAAGGUGGUUUAAGGAUCAGAAUAAGGGGGCGGAUAAUUCAAUGUGGAUAGAAUCAUUUCCGAAUGCCAAUGACAACAAUUGGAUUGGCAUUGCCCUUUGUGCCCACAUUCUUGUUCAAUUUGAACAAUCCCUCUCCAUUAAACUCUACUUUUACGACCAUACAGGAAAAGGCAACCUAGUGUACUAUGUUUAUUGGCAUGAAAAGGAGGAGGAGGUGAGGGGUGAAUUGGUUCACCUCUGCCUAUUCUAUCUUUCUCGCCAACUACUCAUUCAGGAUGGAAAGCUGCAUGAUCUUCAUGGAUCCCGCUUUGUAUUCGAAGCUAAUGCCCACAACUAUGUGGAUGUGAAGAAGUGGGGAAUACGUGUGGUACUGAACCAGGAUUUGAAUCCCGCUUUUUAUUGACCAACUAACAGCGCUAUUUUUCCAUUCCAAACCAAACACACACUAGGCUUCCAGUGGAUUCUGCUGGAGUACAACACAGGAGGCUUUUCUUCCCAUGUUCUAUAUUUCUGCUGUUGUUACUGUUAUUGUCACUCUAUGCUGCUAUGUUAUUCGAAUAUGAAGCUUUUAAAGCUUGGCUGAAAUUGUCUAAUCUAUGUCCUUGUUGCAGAGAAGAGGAUUGAGAUAUGUUGAGGGUGAUUCAUAAUUAAUAUGAGUAACUAGAACUCAUCAGAGAAGAACUUGUUGGUGUUCAUGCUACCAUGUUCCUGAACAGAAAAGCUCUGCAUACAAGCCAUUAGGGCUUGUAUGCUUUACAAGUUAAUUAACGAAUAAACCCCAAAAACGCAAUUCAAGGUCUACGUUCUUCUUCCUCUUCCUCUUCUUCUUCUUCUUCUUUUCUUUCGUUUCUUGCCUUCUCUUUCUUCUUCUUCUUCCUGCACGUUCUUCUUCCUCUUUCUGUUCUUCUUCUUCAUU